rnacentral:rRNA from 1 species
AUUGGGUAGGGGAGCGUUCUGUAAGCGGUUGAAGGUGUGUGGUAACGCAUGCUGGACGUAUCAGAAGUGCGAAUGCUGACAUGAGUAACGAUAAAGGGGGUGAAAAACCUCCUCGCCGGAAGACCAAGGGUUCCUGUCCAACGUUAAUCGGGGCAGGGUAAGUCGACCCCUAAGGCGAGGCCGAAAGGCGUAGUCGAUGGGAAACGGGUUAAUAUUCCCGUACUUCUUACAAUUGCGAUGGGGGGACGGAGAAGGCUA